UGCACCUGAUUGAUUUUGGUCGCCAACGAGUGGCGGACGGGUGAGUAACACGUAGGUAACCUGCCCAGAAGCGGGGGACAACAUUUGGAAACAGAUGCUAAUACCGCAUAACAGCGUUGUUCGCAUGAACAACGCUUAAAAGAUGGCUUCUCGCUAUCACUUCUGGAUGGACCUGCGGUGCAUUAGCUUGUUGGUGGGGUAACGGCCUACCAAGGCGAUGAUGCAUAGCCGAGUUGAGAGACUGAUCGGCCACAAUGGGACUGAGACACGGCCCAUACUCCUACGGGAGGCAGCAGUAGGGAAUCUUCCACAAUGGGCGCAAGCCUGAUGGAGCAACACCGCGUGAGUGAAGAAGGGUUUCGGCUCGUAAAGCUCUGUUGUUAAAGAAGAACACGUAUGAGAGUAACUGUUCAUACGUUGACGGUAUUUAACCAGAAAGUCACGGCUAACUACGUGCCAGCAGCCGCGGUAAUACGUAGGUGGCAAGCGUUAUCCGGAUUUAUUGGGCGUAAAGAGAGUGCAGGCGGUUUUCUAAGUCUGAUGUGAAAGCCUUCGGCUUAACCGGAGAAGUGCAUCGGAAACUGGAUAACUUGAGUGCAGAAGAGGGUAGUGGAACUCCAUGUGUAGCGGUGGAAUGCGUAGAUAUAUGGAAGAACACCAGUGGCGAAGGCGGCUACCUGGUCUGCAACUGACGCUGAGACUCGAAAGCAUGGGUAGCGAACAGGAUUAGAUACCCUGGUAGUCCAUGCCGUAAACGAUGAGUGCUAGGUGUUGGAGGGUUUCCGCCCUUCAGUGCCGGAGCUAACGCAUUAAGCACUCCGCCUGGGGAGUACGACCGCAAGGUUGAAACUCAAAGGAAUUGACGGGGGCCCGCACAAGCGGUGGAGCAUGUGGUUUAAUUCGAAGCUACGCGAAGAACCUUACCAGGUCUUGACAUCUUGCGCCAACCCUAGAGAUAGGGCGUUUCCUUCGGGAACGCAAUGACAGGUGGUGCAUGGUCGUCGUCAGCUCGUGUCGUGAGAUGUUGGGUUAAGUCCCGCAACGAGCGCAACCCUUGUUACUAGUUGCCAGCAUUAAGUUGGGCACUCUAGUGAGACUGCCGGUGACAAACCGGAGGAAGGUGGGGACGACGUCAGAUCAUCAUGCCCCUUAUGACCUGGGCUACACACGUGCUACAAUGGACGGUACAACGAGUCGCGAACUCGCGAGGGCAAGCAAAUCUCUUAAAACCGUUCUCAGUUCGGACUGCAGGCUGCAACUCGCCUGCACGAAGUCGGAAUCGCUAGUAAUCGCGGAUCAGCAUGCCGCGGUGAAUACGUUCCCGGGCGUUGUACACACCGCCCGUCACACCAUGAGAGUUUGUAC
rnacentral:rRNA from 2 species